rnacentral:rRNA from 1 species
UACAGAGGUCUCAAGCGUUGUUCGGAUUCAUUGGGCGUAAAGGGUGCGUAGGUGGCGCGCUAAGUCGGGUGUGAAAUCUCGGGGCUUAACUCCGAAACUGCAUUUGAUACUGGCGUGCUUGAGGACUGGAGAGGAGACUGGAAUUCAUGGUGUAGCAGUGAAAUGCGUAGAGAUCAUGAGGAAGACCAGUGGCGAAGGCGGGUCUCUGGACAGUUCCUGACACUGAGGCACGAAGGCCAGGGGAGCAAACGGG